GUGCCGCUCAAAAUCAGCAAAGCUACUGAUGGGCUUCUGGGAGAGACCCGGAAUCAGGAUAUUCCCCCGGCAGUCUUCUCGGAUUACCAGGUCUCACCUUACCUCCCUGCUACAGCAGAGCUUCAUGUUCUAGAACCAGGUCUUACUUUGACCCUUUGUUGCUCCUCUCCCAACCAGCACGGGGCCUCACCUUCUCCUGGUAGAUCUCUAGCUCCUGUGGGUCCAUAGGCAAGCACACUGGCAUUCUGCCCUUCCAGCAAGUGCCUUAGGAUGGGCUGCACUGAACCUGCAUAGAUGUCCUGCUGAGUACUCCUCUCCCCAUAGAAGGCAUCAAACCUGCAGGAAGAAAGAAAGAAAUUAGCGUGUGUGUGUGUGUGUGUGUGUGUGUGUGUGUGUAAGGGGUGGAGUGGGGUGGGGGUGGGUAAGGGAUUCUACUCUCAUCUGGACCUUGGAUUUAAGAGAACGUCUCUAUCCCCUUUCUUGUACAAAGACCUUAAAAAGCAUCCACCUAACACCUACUCCAUCCUCAUCUCUCUAUUGGUGUUAGGAAUACAGAGAUAGAUCUGAUAUCCCUGCUCUUGGAGUUUUUCAGUCUGGUAGGAUAGAUAUCCACACUUUGCUGUGAUUUAGGAAACGAAGAUAAGAACACACUCUCAAAGGAGUAACUGAUUCUGCUCAAGGAAGGAAGAUUUUGACCAAAGAAAGAAAUUCUGAGAAUCAAGAAUAGCAAAAAAGCAAGGCUUCCCAGUCUUUUUCAAAUGGCUACAUGUGUAGAACAUUGUAUUUUACACCAUAAUGGGGAAAAUAGAGGAUGCUGCUUAUGACUGAACUAGACUCUACAUACCAAUCACCUAUCCACUGCGUUCUGGUGGAGAAGUGCAGCUUAGGCCACAGCAGGGAGUUUAAUAUAUAUUGAGGGAAUGAGGCUGGAAAGAAACUGAAGCCCAAAUUGUUAACGGCCUAGUAUGGGAGCUAGCAAACUUCUGUAAAAAGGCAGAUUGUACAUAUUUUAGGCUUUGUGGGCCAUGUGUUCCUUUUACAACUACUCAACUCUGCCACUGUAGUCAGAAAGCAGCUAUAGACAAUAUGUAAAUAAACGAUAAAAUUUUAUUUACUGAAAAUCUUACUCCUGAUCAGAUUUGACCUGCAGGCCAUGGUUUGCCAGCCCCCGCCUAGAAAAACAGGCCAAGGAGUUUGAACUUUAAAUCCCCAGUAGGAUUAUAAAGUAGCUGCCCUUCUGAGUUCUGUCCCCAAAUCUGGGUGGUCUUCUCUGACACUACCCAGCUGCA
rnacentral:lncRNA from 10 species